UUUCCAGAAAAAGGCAGAAACAUAGAGGGCUACUUGAAAUUAGGCCCUUCACUUUUCAUUUUUCUUUUCUGGAGGAUGUGCCACCACAAGCACACACAUACUCGCACUCACAGUGGGACAUUUGUUUCUGAAAACAUUAGGUUAGCAUGGUGUCACAUUUGCAAUCUCCACUAAGCCUGAGGACACACUUUCUGUGUGACCUACUGAAUUGAGUUGAAUAUUUUAACUAAAAACUUCAAGAUCUAUUUUUGCAUUUAAGCAGGCCACAAGAAAUUCAGGGUGGCAAUCUGAGUAAUUAAUAUGAGUGAACUUCAUUACCAAGAAAAUCAUAGUAUCCAAGCCGGGCGUGGUGGCUCAUGCCUAUUUUAUAUUUGUAUUUGUUUAUGUCUGUCUCCCCAAUAAAAUGUAAGCUGCUGUAAUGAAAGGGGUCUGUCCUGUUCAUGGCUAUGUUGCCAAUUAUUAAAACAGCACAUGCACAUAGACAUUCAAUUGUCAGUAAAUAUUUGCUGGUGGGCUGCUUUUAACAAAAUCUUCACAACUCCAGGAUCAUCCUGUAUCUCUCUCCAGGAUCAUCCUGUAUCUCCCCAAGUAUACAAGAUAACUUGGCAUCACACCUAAUUUUAAAGUUCUGUUAGACAGAUUUCACAGUCUUUCUCAGUAAGAAUUGCCCUU
rnacentral:antisense_RNA from 1 species